rnacentral:tRNA from 1 species
UGGGGUGUAGCCAAGUGGUAAGGCAAUGGACUUUGACUCCGUGAUCGUAGGUUCGAUCCCUGCCAUCCCAACCA